AUGUGCGCCGACAUGAUAGACUUGAAGAAGGCAAGGACAAGAAUCAAGGAACUGGAGGAAGAACUCAAGGCUACACGUGAAGAUUAUGAAAAAGAAAUUGAAGUAUUGGUAGAUAAGAAUGACGACCUGAUCAAGAAGAUUGGAAUAUUUAUGGGAGGCCCUACACCAGUAAAUGAAGACGAAGAACCCAAGGAGAUUAGCCCGGAAGACUACAUCAUCAUCGACGGCACCGACUCGGAUCCAGAUAGUAGCGAUGAUGACUAUGUUGAUGAAGCUGGAGCAGAUAUCUUGGAGUCUGCAACCGAAGAAUAUUUCUAG
rnacentral:rRNA from 1 species